AAUUACACCGAUCUCACGUGUCAAACCAUGUUGACGCUGUUGACGGCAAAUGCACGUGCAUCAUUUGUUCAUUUCCAUUUCCUUUGAGACGGCGAAUAGUCAAGGAUGCAUCGAAAUGAAUGCAAUACCAGCAGGGUUCAGUUGAAUGGAGAUAAAACAUGUGGCUGCUGUAAACGGUCGCCUGAAAGAUGAAUAAUUCUACCCAUUGUAAUAGUCGGGAAAAUGGAUGCAACAUUAUCCUGGUUGCUCCGAAUGCGAACCAGAUGAAACAUACGCCAUGGCGUAGAAGGAAUCAAACUGAAACAUACGCCAUGGCGUGAAAGAAUCAAGUACAAUGGCGCUAUCCUCAAAUCGGUUCAUUCUGCUCAAUGAACGGACCAACUAAAAAAUGGAUUCAACAGCUAAUCAUCACUGUUCCGGAUGAGAUCCUUAUGACCCAUACACCAUGAUGUCAAAGGAACCCAGAUGAUACUUGCGCCAUGGUGUAAAGGAAUUCCGAUGAUUCAUGCGUCAAAUGGUGCUAUCCUCAAAUCGCUUUCUACUCAAUGAACGGACCAACGAAGAAAAUGCAAACCAUCAGCGUCCACCAUCAAUCCAGAUGAAACGUACACCGUAAAAGGGAUCCGGAUGAUUCAUAUGUCGUAGUAGAAUCCUCAUAAUACAUGCGCCAUGGUGCAAAGGAAUCACGUUGAUUCAUGCAUCAAAUGGUGCUCUCAAAUCGAUUCGCUCGAAUCAAUGAACGGGCUAUCGAUGAAAAUAGUAAGUAAACGCCAUAUCCCUCCCUCAAGAAACCAAACCCAUUUUUCCUGGAAUAGGUUGACAAUGUAGUAGUGGCACUGGGUCUCUAUCCUUUCCAACAAAGCUAAAUGGAAGGUUCAAUAGAAUGAGUGGAUGAAGCUAUGGAUUUGCAUGUCAUUUAUUGAUAGGGAAGAAAGGGCUACAUGUAUCACAUUCUGGGAAUAGUUGAUGUAGAGGAAAAGGAUAAUCUUCAUGAAGAAUAAAACAAAAAUAUUGUCUCUA